UAGGGAAUCUUCGGCAAUGGACGAAAGUCUGACCGAGCAACGCCGCGUGAGUGAAGAAGGUUUUCGGAUCGUAAAACUCUGUUGUUAGAGAAGAACAAGGACGUUAGUAACUGAACGUCCCCUGACGGUAUCUAACCAGAAAGCCACGGCUAACUACGUGCCAGCAGCCGCGGUAAUACGUAGGUGGCAAGCGUUGUCCGGAUUUAUUGGGCGUAAAGCGAGCGCAGGCGGUUUCUUAAGUCUGAUGUGAAAGCCCCCGGCUCAACCGGGGAGGGUCAUUGGAAACUGGGAGACUUGAGUGCAGAAGAGGAGGGUGGAAUUCCAUGUGUAGCGGUGAAAUGCGUAGAUAUAUGGAGGAACACCAGUGGCGAAGGCGGCUCUAUGGUCUGUAACUGACGCUGAGGCUCGAAAGCGUGGGGAGCAAACAGG
rnacentral:rRNA from 1 species